AAGGAAAUUUUUAAAAUCAUCAUCUUCAGUUUUGAAAGACUUAAAUUAAUUUAAAAAAAUAAGUUUUUCUUUUUCAUUAAUUAUUCUUAUAGUAUUUAAUUUUUUAA
rnacentral:misc_RNA from 1 species